UACAGAGGUCCCAAGCGUUGUUCGGAUUCAUUGGGCGUAAAGGGUGCGUAGGCGGCGCGGGAAGUCGGGUGUGAAAUCUCGGAGCUUAACUCCGAAACUGCAUUCGAUACUGCCGUGCUUGAGGACUGGAGAGGACGACUGGAAUUUACGGGUGUAGCGGUGAAAUGCGUAGAUAUCGUAAGGAAGACCGACGUGGAGCGGAAGGCGGGUCGUCUGGAGCAGUUCCUGACGCUGAGGCACGAAAGGCCAGGGGAGCAAACGGGG
rnacentral:rRNA from 1 species